rnacentral:rRNA from 1 species
CCUACGGGAGGCAGCAGUGAGGAAUAUUGGUCAAUGGGCGCAAGCCUGAACCAGCCAUGCCGCGUGCAGGAUGACGGUCCUAUGGAUUGUAAACUGCUUUUACACGAGAAGAAACAACCCUACGUGUAGGGUCUUGACGGUAUCGUGAGAAUAAGGAUCGGCUAACUCCGUGCCAGCAGCCGCGGUAAUACGGAGGAUCCAAGCGUUAUCCGGAAUCAUUGGGUUUAAAGGGUCCGUAGGCGGUUAGAUAAGUCAGUGGUGAAAGCCCAUCGCUCAACGGUGGAACGGCCAUUGAUACUGUUUAACUUGAAUUAUUAGGAAGUAACUAGAAUAUGUAGUGUAGCGGUGAAAUGCUUAGAGAUUACAUGGAAUACCAAUUGCGAAGGCAGGUUACUACUAAUGGAUUGACGCUGAUGGACGAAAGCGUGGGUAGCGAACAGGAUUAGAUACCCCUGUAGUC